UACGUAGGGUGCAAGCGUUGUCCGGAAUCAUUGGGCGUAAAGAGCGUGUAGGCGGCCAGAUAAGUCCGCUGUGAAAUCUCGAGGCUCAACUUCGAGCUGUCGGUGGAAACUGUCGGGCUAGAGUGCGGAAGAGGCGAGUGGAAUUCCUGGUGUAGCGGUGAAAUGCGCAGAUAUCAGGAGGAACACCAAUUGCGAAGGCAGCUCGCUGGGACGUUACUGACGCUGAGACGCGAAAGCGUGGGGAGCAAACAGG
rnacentral:rRNA from 1 species